rnacentral:rRNA from 1 species
GUAUAAGAGACAGCAGCCGCCGCGGGAAUACAGAGGGUGCGAGCGUUAAUCGGAUUUACUGGGCGUAAAGCGUGCGUAGGCGGCUUCUUAAGUCGGAUGUGAAAUCCCUGAGCUUAACUUAGGAAUUGCAUUCGAUACUGGGAAGCUAGAGUAUGGGAGAGGAUGGUAGAAUUCCAGGUGUAGCGGUGAAAUGCGUAGAGAUCUGGAGGAAUACCGAUGGCGAAGGCAGCCAUCUGGCCUAAUACUGACGCUGAGGUACGAAAGCAUGGGGAGCAAACAGGAUUAGAUACCCGCGUAGUCCCUGUCUCUUAUAC